rnacentral:rRNA from 1 species
GAUUCUCAAAGGAAUUGACGGGGGCCCGCACAAGCAGUGGAGUAUGUGGUUUAAUUCGAAGCAACGCGAAGAACCUUACCAGGUCUUGACAUCCAACGACCGCCUAAGAGAUUAGGCUUUCUUUCGGGACGUUGAGACAGGUGGUGCAUGGUUGUCGUCAGCUCGUGUCGUGAGAUGUUGGGUUAAGUCCCGCAACGAGCGCAACCCUUAUUACUAGUUACUACGCAAGAGGACUCUAGUGAGACUGCCGUUGACAAAACGGAGGAAGGUGGGGAUGACGUCAAAUCAUCAUGCCCUUUAUGACCUGGGCUACACACGUACUACAAUGGCUAUUAACAGAGAGAAGCAAGACCGCAAGGUGGAGCAAACCUCAGAAAAAUAGUCUCAGUUCGGAUUGGGGGCUGCAACCCGCCCCCAUGAAGCCGGAAUUGCUAGUAAUCGCGGAUCAGCAUGCCGCGGUGAAUACGUUCCCGGGCCUUGUACACACCACCCGUCACACCAUGAGAGCCGGGGGGACCCGAAGUCGGUAGUCUAACCGCAAGGAGGACGCCGCCGAAGGUAAAACUGGUGAUUGGGGUGAAGUCGUAACAAGGUAGCCGUAUCGG